ACCUAUAUGUUUUUUGAGUUGAAAGAAAUUUAAGGAAUGGCGAUGAUUAGAAUUUGCAAAUCUUAACUCUCUUAGUUGUUUCUUUACUAGUUGAGUUAUUGUAAAAAAUGAUUUGGAAAACAAUUUCAAAGGAGAAGAUGAUGCAGGACGCGAGGGGGAGAAAGGUUAGGCAUACCAAAGUAGACAAUUUAUGAGGGGUGAG
rnacentral:lncRNA from 1 species